GGGGCUUCAAUCGGGGGGUUUGGGGGGAUUUGGGGAUCCCAAAGUAGAUUUUUGUCAUUCCCAGGAUGGAUUUUUUCCCCCAAUAAUUCCCAUUGUUUCCUGUUAUUUUCCCGUUGUUCUCCCAUUGUUUUUUCCUGUUGUUCUCCCGUUGUUCUCCCGUUUUUCUCUCAUUGUUUUCCUGUUGUUUUCCCGUUGUUUUUUCCUGCUGUUCUCCCAUUGUUCUCCCAUUGUUUCCUGUUGUUUCCCAUUGUUGUUCUCCCAUUGUUUCCUGUUGUUUCCCGUUGUUUUCCCGCUGUUCUCCCGUUGUUCUCCCGUUAUUCUCCUGUUGUUGUUUCCCGUUGUUCUCCUGUUGUUUUUCCUGUUGUUCUCCCAUUGUUUCCCCGCUGUUUUCCCGUUGUUCCCCCAUUGUUUUCCCAUUGUUUCCCCGCUGUUUUCCCGUUGUUCCCCCGUUGUUUUCCCAUUGUUUUCCCAUUGUUCUCCCGUUGUUCCCCCAUUGUUCUCCCGUUGUUUUCCCAUUGUUCUCCCGUUGUUCCCCCAUUGUAUUCUGGUUGUUCCCCCAUUGUUCCCCCGUUGUUCCCCCGUUGUUCCCCCGUUGUUCUCCGGUUGUUUUCCCGUUGUUCUCCCGUUGUUCUCCCGUUGUUUUCCCAUUGUCCUCCCAUUGAUUUCCCGUUGUUCUCCCAUUGUUCUAUUCUUUUCUCGUUGUUCUCCCGUUGUUUUUUUCCCCAUUAUUCUCCCGUUGUUUCCCCGUUGUUCUCCCGUUGUUCUCCCAUUGUUUUUUCCCCGCUGUUUCCCCGUUGUUUUCCCAUUGUUUCCCUGUUGUUCUCUGGUUGUUCUCUGGUUGUUCUCCCGUUGUUUUCCCGCUGUUUUCCCGUUGUUCCCCUGUUGUUGUCCGGUUGUUCUCCUGCUGUUCUCCCGUUGUUUCCCCGCUGUUCCCCUGUUGUUCUCCCGUUGUUCUCCCGUUGUUUUCCCAUUGUUUUCCCGCUGUUUUCCCGUUGUUCUUCCAUUGUUUCCUGUUGUUUUCCCAUUGUUCUCCCAUUGUUCCCCUGUUGUUUUCCCAUUGUUUCCCCGUUGUUCUCCUAUUGCUCUCCCAUUGUUCUCCCAUUGUUCCCCCAUUGUUCUCCGGUUGUUCUCCCGUUGUUUCCCCGCUGUUCCCCUGUUGUUCUCCUGCUGUUCUCCCGUUUUUCUCCCGUUGUUUUCCCAUUGUUCUCCUGUUGUUUUUCCUGUUGUUUUCCCAUUGUCCUCCCGUUGAUUUCCCAUUGUUCUCCCAUUGUUCUAUUCUUUUCUCGUUGUUUUUUUCCCCAUUAUUCUCCCACUGUUUCCCCAUUGUUCUCCCAUUGUUCACUCAUUGUUUUUUCCCGCUGUUUUCCCGCUGUUCUCCCAUUGUUCUCCCGUUGUUCUUCGGUUGUUUUCCCGUUGUUCUCCCAUUGUUUUUUCCCCGCUGUUUUCCCGUUGUUUUCCCAUUGUUUCCCCAUUGUUCUCCCGUUAUUCUCCUGUUGUUGUUUCCCGUUGUUCUCCUGUUGUUUUUCCUGUUGUUCUCCCAUUGUUUCCCUGCUGUUUUCCCAUUGUUCUCCCGUUGUUCCCCCAUUGUUCUCCCAUUGUUUUCCCAUUGUUCUCCUGUUGUUCCCCCAUUGUAUUCUGGUUGUUCCCCCAUUGUUCCCCCGUUGUUCCCCCGUUGUUCUCCGGUUGUUUUCCCGUUGUUUUCCCGUUGUUCUCCCGUUGUUCUCCCGUUGUUUUCCCAUUGUCCUCCCAUUGAUUUCCCGUUGUUCUCCCAUUGUUUUAUUCUUUUCUCGUUGUUCUCCCGUUGUUUUUUUCCCCAUUAUUCUCCCGUUGUUUCCCCAUUGUUCUCCCGUUGUUCUCCUGUUGUUUUCCCGUUGUUUUCCCAUUGUUUUCCCGCUGUUAUCCCAUUGUUUCCCUGUUGUUCUCCGGUUGUUUUCCUGCUGUUCUCCCGUUGUUCCCCCGUUGUUCCCCCGUUGUUCUCCCAUUGUUCUCCCGUUGUUUCCCCGCUGUUCUCCCACUGUUUUCCCAUUGUUUCCCUGCUGUUCCCCCGUUGUUCUCCCGUUGUUCUCCCGUUGUUCCCCCAUUGUUCUCCCGCUGUUCCCCCGUUGUUUUCCCGCUGUUCUCCCGUUGUUUUCCCAUUGUUUUCCCGCUGUUUUCCCAUUGUUUUCCCGUUGUUCUCCCGUUGUUCCCCCGCUGUUCCCCCGUUGUUCUCCGUCUGUUUCCCCGCUGUUCCCCCGUUGUUCUCCGGCUGUUCUCCCAUUGUUCUCCUGUUGUUUCCCCGUUGUUCCCCCGUUGUUCCCCCGUUGUUCCCCCGUUGUUCUCCGGUUGUUCUCCUGCUGUUCUCCCGUUGUUCUCCUGUUGUUUUCCCAUUGUUUUCCCGCUGUUCUCCGGUUGUUCUCCCGCUGUUUCCCCGUUGUUCUCCGGCUGUUCCCCCAUUGUUCUCCGGCUGUUCUUCGGUUGUUCUCCGGCUGUUCCCCCGUUGUUCUCCCGUUGUUUCCCCGCUGUUCUCCCCUUGUUCUCCCGUUGUUUUCCCAUUGUUCUCCCGCUGUUUCCCCGCUGUUCCCCCACUGUUCUCCGGCUGUUCUCCCUCAGGACCCCGCUGGUCCCGGUGUUCAGUUUCGGGGAGAACGAGCUGUUCCAGCAGGUUCCGAACCCGCCGGGCUCGCGGCUGCGGCGCCUCCAGCUGCGGCUCCAGAAGGUUCUGGGCGUGGCGCUGCCGCUGUUCCACGCCCGCGGAAUCUUCCAGUACAACUUCGGGCUGCUGCCCUUCCGCAGGCCCAUCCACACCGUGGGUGAGCGGGAAAACGGGGCGAAAAGGGGGGAAAACGGGAAAAACGGGGAAAAACGGGAA
rnacentral:lncRNA from 1 species